rnacentral:sRNA from 1 species
CUUUAACUCUUGACCUUGGGUGAUCCAUCCACCUUGGCCUCCCAAAGUGUUGGGAUUACAGGCGUGAGCCACUGUGCCUGGCCCGAAUAAUUGUUCCUAGGUCAUAUAAGCAUUAUUACAUAUUCAAAGAAGGGAGAAAUUGAUAUACAGAUGGAAAUUGUUUUUGAUAAAUUAGAAAAAUAGGUGCAAGUGAAGCUAGAUUUUAUUAUGUCUUUCUCAUUAACCAUUUUAGAAUAGAACAUUUGGAUUCAGGUGAUCUGGCCAGAUUUCCUGAAGUGGUAUUUGGGUACCUGUCUCCAUCCAUGAUUGUCAUCAGCACACCAAACUCUGAAUUCAAUCCCCUGUUUCCAUCAGUGACCUUAAGAGAUUCCGAUCAUAAAUUUGAGUGGACCAGAAUGGAGUUUCAGACCUGGGCUUUAUAUGUGGCAAAUCGCUAUGAUUACUCUGUGGAGUUUACUGGUGUAGGGGAACCACCAGCUGGAGCUGAGAAUGUUGGAUACUGUACCCAGAUAGGAAUCUUCCGGAAAAAUGAAGGAAAGGCAACAGAAUCAUGUCUUUCAGAGCAGCAUGAUCAGCA